ACGGGUGAGUAACACGUGAGCAACCUACCUUACACAGGGGGAUAGCCGUUGGAAACGACGAUUAAUACCGCAUGAGACCACAGAACCGCAUGGUAAAGGGGUCAAAGAUUUAUCGGUGUAAGAUGGGCUCGCGUCUGAUUAGCUAGUUGGAAGGGUAAAGGCCUACCAAGGCGACGAUCAGUAGCCGGUCUGAGAGGAUGAACGGCCACAUUGGAACUGAGACACGGUCCAAACUCCUACGGGAGGCAGCAGUGGGGAAUAUUGCACAAUGGGGGAAACCCUGAUGCAGCGACGCCGCGUGAGCGAAGAAGGUUUUCGAAUCGUAAAGCUCUGUCCUAUGAGAAGAUAAUGACGGUAUCAUAGGAGGAAGCCCCGGCUAAAUACGUGCCAGCAGCCGCGGUAAUACGUAUGGGGCGAGCGUUGUCCGGAAUUAUUGGGCGUAAAGGGUACGUAGGCGGUCUAUUAAGUCAGGUGUGAAAGCGUGAGGCUUAACCUCAUUAAGCACUUGAAACUGAUAGACUUGAGUGAAGGAGAGGAAAGUGGAAUUCCUAGUGUAGCGGUGAAAUGCGUAGAUAUUAGGAGGAAUACCGGUGGCGAAGGCGACUUUCUGGACUUUUACUGACG
rnacentral:rRNA from 1 species